CGGCGCUCAGUGACGAGAGGCUUUGUCCGGUUCCGAGGUCUUUCUGUGAGGGUGUUUCGACGCGCUGGGCGGUUUGUUCCUUCAUCGCAUUCGUUAACAGGGGCGGCAUGCAGAUCUUCGUGAAGACCCUGACCGGCAAGACCAUCACCCUAGAGGUGGAGCCCAGUGACACCAUCGAGAACGUGAAGGCCAAGAUCCAGGAUAAAGAGGGCAUCCCCCCUGACCAGCAGAGGCUCAUCUUUGCCGGCAAGCAGCUGGAAGAUGGCCGCACCCUCUCUGACUACAACAUCCAGAAGGAGUCAACCCUGCACCUGGUCCUCCGCCUGAGGGGCGGCAUGCAGAUCUUCGUGAAGACCCUGACCGGCAAGACCAUCACCCUGGAGGUGGAGCCCAGUGACACCAUCGAGAACGUGAAGGCCAAGAUCCAGGAUAAAGAGGGCAUCCCCCCUGACCAGCAGAGGCUCAUCUUUGCCGGCAAGCAGCUGGAAGAUGGCCGCACCCUCUCUGAUUACAACAUCCAGAAAGAGUCAACCCUGCACCUGGUCCUCCGCCUGAGGGGUGGCUAUUAAUUCUUCAGUCUGCAUUCCCGGCGGGCACUGAUGGCAUUACUCUGCACUCUAGCCAUUUGCCCCAAUUUAAGUUUAGAAAUUACAAGUUUCAGUAAUAGCUGAACCUCUGUUAAAAAUGUUAAUAAAGGUUUUGUUGCAUGGUAAGCAUA
rnacentral:lncRNA from 1 species